AUGCACAGUAAUUCUGAAAUCCACAGGCACAAAUGUGGAAAGACAGAUUUUUGUGUUUGGGGAUUGGGAAGGGGGAUGGGACCAUGCUUUGGUAGGUCAGGCCUGAAAGGAGGCAUGGCAGCCAGGAGCUGUUAUCAGAAGAUGCAGAACUGGGGCUGCUGUGGCAGAGACGAGGACUUAGGAUCUCAAGCCAUUGCAUUCAAAGUUUCUCCUGGCUCUACCAUUCAUUCCCAAAGAAGUCAGCGGAAACCAGGAACAGAAGAGAGAAAGAAGACCCAGAGAGGUAAGGAGACUUGUCCAGAGUCACUGAUGGCAGAAGAAGGUUUUUUAACCCAGGCCCUCUAAUUCCAAAUUCAGUAUUUUUUUUCUGUUGUGCCCUGUUUUUUUAUGCCCCAUAAUACCCAUAACAUGGUAAAAGGUUAGUAAAUACUUGUUUACUUGAUUUGAAAACUAUUGAUUCUCAUAAGUAUUUAUAUAGGAUAAAAGAAAAGUUAGUUCAUUUCUCCUUGCCUCUCCUGAUUGGGGUUCCCAUGAAGCUGACUGGCCUCUCUUCAUUUCCUUAUUGUUUCUAUUAAAACUGACUGAUGCUGGGCCCUAUUCUAUCUGGGCCUUGAUCUCAGUAGGACAAAUUUAACCAACUAACUAGUUUGUGUCAAAGCCCACACUCUCUGAGUCAGGAAGAAACAAGCAUCUACCUGACAUGUGAGCUGAAGAUAGAGUCUGAGAACACAUCACUGGUGAAAAAAGAAAAACUUUAGAGUCAAAUAUGCUCAUAUGGUCAUAAAAUGAAGGCAUUGGAAUAGAUAAUCUUCUUUCUAUCUCUACAUCACAGGUUUAAGAUUUGGAUUCAGGUCCCCCACAAGUCAACAAAUAUCCCUGUCCUCAUCUGUAAAAUGAGAGGGUUGGAUUAGAUGAUUUCUGAGAUAACUUUGGAAGGGACUUGCCCAAGGGAUUUGAACCCAGGACAUCUAAUUCAAAACUUGAUGUUUUUCCAUUAUAUGAUACUGCCUGUCUUAGUGAAUGCCUUUAUUAAUGUGUCUUCUGAUUUCCAUAUAGAUCCUCGAUUGAAACGUUAACUCAGAUUUUGGUCUCCUGCUCCAGUCUCAGCCCCUGGAUUUAGUUUUCCCAAGAAUGUUUGAUUUAUUUAAUGCUUUUUAAUUUAUUUUAUUUUUUAAAAUUUAUUUUAUUAUUUUGAUGUUUGAAUGCUUGGUUUCCCACCUGGCUCAGAUUCUUGUUUACACUCAUGCUUCGACCCCUGUCCCUUUUUCUGGACCUGGCAGAAAAUGGACAGCAUUACCGAAUGCCCUCUAAACAAGAUAUUUGUGGUCUGGUUGUUGUUCUUUGUAUUCACAGAGGACCAAAAAUGGAAUUGCUGAUGAUGUCUUUUGACUCAUAUAAAUUGGAGUUAAGGGAGGCAGAGUCAUACAAGUUGUCAGCCUCACUCUCUUUUCCAAAAUCAUUGAAAUCCAAUGGCAAGACAAAAAGUCAAGAUAACUGGCAAUGAUCUGGGAUGUAAUGGAUGAUCUUGGCACCUUCAAUAUAUGAUGAAACUCUAAGUGCUCUAUAGCUCCCUUUUCCACUGACUUCAUGGCCUUUGGAAUAAACUGUUCUCAUCUGCCCA
ensembl:lncRNA